AACGAACGCUGGCGGCAGGCUUAACACAUGCAAGUCGAACGGGUGUAGCAAUACAUCAGUGGCAGACGGGUGAGUAACACGUGGGAACCUUCCUAGGGGUACGGAACAACUCAGGGAAACUUGAGCUAAUACCGUAUACGUCCGUGAGGAGAAAGAUUUAUCGCCCUUAGACGGGCCCGCGUCGGAUUAGCUAGUUGGUGGGGUAACGGCCUACCAAGGCGACGAUCCGUAGCUGAUCUUAGAGGAUGAUCAGCCACACUGGGACUGAGACACGGCCCAGACUCCUACGGGAGGCAGCAGUGGGGAAUCUUGGACAAUGGGCGCAAGCCUGAUCCAGCCAUGCCGCGUGAGUGAAGAAGGCCUUAGGGUUGUAAAGCUCUUUUGCCAGGGACGAUAAUGACGGUACCUGGAGAAUAAGCCCCGGCAAACUUCGUGCCAGCAGCCGCGGUAAGAC
rnacentral:rRNA from 1 species